GAGGAAACUUGUGCUAAUACCGGAUAAGUCUUUACGGAGAAAGCUUUAUGCACCAUUGGAUGAGCCCGCACUUGAUUAGUUUGUUGGUGGGGUAAUGGCCUACCAAGACUGUGAUCAAUAGCUGAUUUGAGAGGAUGAUCAGCCACAUUGGGACUGAGACACGGCCCAAACUCAUACGGGAGGCAGCAGUGGGGAAUCUUGCACAAUGGAGGAAACUCUGAUGCAGCGAUGCCGCGUGAGUGAAGAAGGCCCUUGGGUUGUAAAGCUCUUUCGUCGGGGAAGAAAAUGACUGUACCCGAAUAAGAAGGUCCGGCUAACUUCGUGCCAGCAGCCGCGGUAAUACGAAGGGACCUAGCGUAGUUCGGAAUUACUGGGCUUAAAGAGUUCGUAGGUGGUUGAAAAAGUUAGUGGUGAAAUCCCAGAGCUUAACUCUGGAACUGCCAUUAAAACUUUUCAGCUAGAGUAUGAUAGAGGAAAGCAGAAUUUCUAGUGUAGAGGUGAAAUUCGUAGAUAUUAGAAAGAAUACCAAUUGCGAAGGCAGC
rnacentral:rRNA from 1 species